AAGGAACAAACGAAUUGGUGUUUGAGGAUAAGCAUUCAAUUCUACUACCUCCUUGUGUUUCUGUAUUUUGCACUUAAUUCAAUCAAUUACCAGCAAAAAGAAACACUACAGAAUUUCCUUGAGAGGGGUAAAGAGUUCAGAGCUUCAUCACGGCGUUAUGUCCUUUUUUUAGCAUAGGUAAUGUUUUAUUUGGAUUGUUACAAGUUUUUGCAGAGGUCACUUAUUGCCAGCUUGUCAACUGCAAAUUGCUAUAAAUCUGAACAUUUGAAGAGACCAGAAAAUUGUGCCAUGGCCUAAGACUUUGCUUU